UACGUAGGGUGCGAGCGUUGCCCGGAUUUAUUGGGCGUAAAGGGCGCGUAGGCGGUCACGCACGUCCGUUGUGAAAUCGCUCGGCUCAACUGGGCGGGGUCAGCGGAUACGGCGUGGCUGGAGCAAGCUAGGGGGCAAUGGAAUUCCCGGUGUAGUGGUGGAAUGCGUAGAGAUCCGGAAGAACACCGGUGGCGAAGGCGGCUCGCUGGGCAGUGGCUGACGCUGAGGCGCGACAGCGUGGGGAGCAAACAGG
rnacentral:rRNA from 1 species